rnacentral:rRNA from 1 species
GUCUGGACGAGAUAAACGCUGAAGGCAUCUAAGCGUGAAACUCCCCCUAAGAUAAGAUCUCCCAUCCAUUGGAGUAAGGGCCGAAGAAGACUACUUCGUUGAUAGGCCGGAAGUGCAAGCACAGUAAUGUGUUGAGCUGAUCGGUACUAAUCGCCCGAGGGCUUGACCUA